rnacentral:tRNA from 1 species
GGUCUCAUGGUGUAACGGUUAGCACUCUGGACUUGCAAUCCAGUGAUCUGAGUUCAAUACUCGGUGAGACCU